GAGUGCAAAGUCAUUGAUUUCUAUUCUCAGAUGGGAUGCAUUUACAUGAAAAUGUUAAAUUUAGUGACAAAGAAACUCCUAAGCCUCCGAACAUUAGCCAUUUGUACAGUGUUUGCAUCCACUAAUGAAAAGGAUUUUACAAUCUUCUAAUUAUGACAAGAAGUCAUCUUCAUCCCUACUGGUAAGACUCCUCCAACUUGCAACUACAUCCCAGCCUGGGAUCUGACCAGAUGUAAAGACACCAGCUAGACAUUCUAAAAAUGGGAUGCUCACGGAUUAGGUCACACAUCCUUUGAGGCCCUUAUCUGGAUACUGCCCCUCUAAUUUUGCUAUCUUGCCAAUCCAGGGGAAGGAAAAUGAUGAACCCUCAAAAUCAUAGAUCCGAAGCCUUCAAUUUUCUGGGCCUUUUAUGAGCUGGUGAUGAUGGAGCCUCAGAUAACCUUCCAGGUCCCUUGCGUUUCUGAUCCCUUCUGCCAGCCCUUUCCCCUCCAAAACUCAUUGAGUCUGGAACAAAUGUUCCGUCUUGAUCACGGUGAGAGUGAGAACGCUUGGGUGUGCCUGGCAUUUCAGUAUAAGAACAAUCCCGAAAAGAAGAACCUUCUGCCUCCUUAUAUUGCAGCUGAAACAGAAGACUUACAUGUGAAAGACAAUGAAUGCAAAACACUUCUUUUAACUUGGCACAAAUGCAGAAUAAUUAAGAUCAAGGGUAAUUUACUAUUUAGCAUCCAGGUAUUACCAUUACUAACAUUUUCAUCCCUUUAUUUUGUCAAAUAAAUUAAACAUUGUUCAUUUUUUUUAUCAUAUUUUAGCAUAUUCCAUCAGUCAAACAAGUCGAAUAAUAUAAUUUUUUUUAUUAUUCGACUUGUUUGACUAAUGGAAUAUGCAAGAAUAUGAUUGAAAAAAUGGAUGAAGAGACCAUUUUGUAGACAAAAUCAAACCUUAGGGAAGUUUUAAUAUAUUUUUCCAAAUAGAGGAAAGAAAGUGUUAACAAUAGCAAUACCUAGGAACUAAAUAGUAAAUUGCCUUAAGAUCAAUUCCCAAAAAGUUGUUGUGACACGUCAGAUAUAUGAAACAACAAUAUGGCUAAAAUCUAACAAGAAAAAGCAUACGAUAUAAACUUUAGCGUAUAGAAGGAUAUUUGCUAUCUUGAAUGACUAAAUAUCUAAGAUGAAACAAGAUUUAAUUUCCAAAACAUGAACCUCUACAAAAUGCAAUACCUGUUUUUGAAGAUUGAGUAGAUUCAGUAUUUCUUUUCUUAGUUCAAGGUGCGUGGCACAAACAGCUUUUGUUGGUACCCUUGGUUUUAAAUUAACGUGCGAGUGGAAAACUAAAUUUGUGCUGCCCAAUUUCUAUAUGGCAAUUUCUGUGGAAGAAUGGAGAAUGUCUGCCAAAGUUGUAAUUUCAUCUCAUAAAUUUCUAAACAUUUGAGGGCCAAAAAAACCUUAUUUGAUCUUUACACUAGAAAUUUAAGAAUUUAAUGAAACUGGAGAAUGACGAAAGUUAAUAGAUAAUUAUCAAGCUAAGUCAAAAGUAACGUGCAAUUAAUCAGGAACAAAAUUUGAAUAAUCUCAUGUGUCAUAUCAAUCUUGAUAAUAAGAGCAAAAUUGCAACUAAAAUUAAAAUUAACCCACAUAACCACCUCUACUUCCCCAAUCUCACAUUCUCCCACCCAUAAAAAAUUAAAUAAAAAUGAGAGAAAAGAAAAUAUGAACAGUUGGACAGAUGGAAUUUAAGGAGCUAAAGGAUCUUACUAAUCUUCACAUGACAUAUGCCCCAACAAGUGAAAAAGAAACUACAAAGGGGCUUAUCAAAUUAAGAUGCUAACAGAUAAAAACUUACUGUCACACAUGCUCGCGCACGCACACACACACACAUAUAUAACAAGAAAAAGAGGCAUCAAGAGUUAAGGGAACAUAAACAGACCCCAAGAUCUUGCAAUGUUUGCUCAACUAGCUUGAUUGUCCGAAGCCCUGCAGUUGAAUUUGCAGCUUGCACCAUUUGCUCAAGGGCAUAUGUUCUUAGGUAUACACGAAGCAUGCGCAGAGAAGCUAGAGUUGAGGCAUUUUCUGCCAUUACAGAAGUUGAAGAUGCAAUUGCUGCAGAGGCAAGCAGAGCAUUGGAUGAAGGUGAUACAGUAUCAUUAACAUUAGUAGCUGUCUCAACCAUUUCUGGACCAGCAUUUGAUGCUACAGGCAAUGUAGAUUCUUCAAUACCCCUUGCAGCCAUGUGUGACUCGGUUAUUCUUUUUGCUUCAGCAAGAACCUAAGAAAGAGAAGGCAAAGAGAAGGGCAUAUGGACUGGUAAACACCAUUUUUCGUAUAUGUAACCAAGGCGUCCAAAACAGCCACUUCUCAAAAGCACAUCACCCAGUUAUUAUCAGUAACAAAGUAAAAUACAGACCGCAGCAUCUUUUCGCUCUUGCUGCUUUGUUUGUGAAAGAACCAUGGAUAGUGCCCGCUUGCGAUCUCUCUCUUGUGAAACAUUGUAUGGUUCCUACAUGAAGAAAUAAAGAUCAAAACCUACAAAUCAAAGAUAAUUUGAUGUGGGAAACCUCAAAUUUAAUUUAAGAUUGCAGUCAAUUAGCAGGCAAUAAUAACUAGAAGUAAAAAAUUCUCAAUACCCAAACAAUUGUAGCAUAUCAUUGUAACAUUCAUGUGAUAACUCGACUAAUAGACCUAACACACCUUCACAAGAGGAUGUCCUGAAACAUCGCCAGGAGAUGGAGCUCUAGCAAUCAAUAUAGCUCGAGAAACUAUAUAAAUAAAAUGCCAUAGUAAUCAAGAAAAAAGAAAUAAGACAUUCUCCAAUGAUUUGCCAAAUGUUGAUCAAACAAUAGGACAAUGAAAAGAAACAGCAUGAGAGAUACUUAACUUACAAGCAGCAAAGUAGUUAAAAUAGAUUGGGGGGAAAAAAAACACCACCAUAAUAUCGAUCCAUCAAUAAUAGUUAAAAUAUAUAGGGAACCUGUCAGCUAUGAUAAUGAAGCGGAGAUCAAAUCUUUCACACAAGUCAAACAAUUGAUCAGUCUCUUCCUUGGUCCACAUCUAACAGAGAAAAAAACACAUGAGAGCCAGUUCAAUAAAAUUGAAAACAUGAGAUUGGAAUCAGCACAGGAUAAAUAUUCCUCUUCAUACUUUACCAGGAUGCUUAAAGGCAACCUUACAAUUUAGCAGCAACAAAAAGUUAUAAAGAAGCAACUAUUAGUUGAUACCUACAGGAUCAGUCAAAUACUUCACAUACUCUUCGUCCGUGUAUCUGACAACAUCAACAGACUUGUUGUACUUGGCAAAGGAAUAGUCACCUGUUGGUGGAACACCAUUUAAACCUCUGACCCAAUGAUAAAGCUGGAGAUUAUCUUUACGAGCAGAAUUUUUAAAAGGAAGCCACCGCCAUGUGAUCUGAUAAACAGAAAGCUUUCUUCAGCAAUGCAUUCAUGAUAAUUACAGCUUUUCCCUUUCCAAGAAAGUAGAGAGAAGAGACCACGUUCAACAUAAAAGAGGACUAUAGCUCAAGCUUAACCACACUAAACCUCAAAUUCUUGCACAGCACUUAAAAAAAGUUAAACCUUAUAAUCCCUAUAAACCGAACCAAUUUCAAGAUAUUCCGCAAGAAAGAAAAAAAUAAAUGAACAAACAUAAAACCAGCAUUACAGACCUUCUCAUCCGAUGGUGGUCGUCUUUUCAACUGAGUGGUAUCAAUCGAUGGCAUAAAAGGUGCCAACCCGCCAGUAAGCGCAUAAACGUGGCGGGAAAUGCCAUCGGGUUUUCUCUAGGAGUCCUUCUUAGGCUGGGAUUUCUUCUCUUGCAUUAUUAGCAAUGAAGUUUUGGGCAAACCCAGAAUGUCCUUGGCGUCCAUAGCCAGUCCUUCAGAAAUUUUAUUGGGUUUUUGUUUCUAUCCCUUGCUGGUGUUCAGAUUUGCUAACAAUUCAUAUACCCGGUACAUGAGGAACUCAAUUAGGGUUUUUGUGCGUGUAAAUUUGGAUUCUAAUUACUGGAUUGAUUGAUUGAUUGAUCGAAACUUGAAAAAGAGCGGAGUUUUGGAGUGAAAUUAGGGCUCCUUUUCGAGCGCGAAAGUCCCACGAGCUUCUGAAGGUUUUGGUAGCAAGCGGGUGACUCACAACGUCU
rnacentral:misc_RNA from 1 species